CUUAUCAAGAGUGGUGGAGGAACAGGACCUGCGAAGCCACGGCAACCCCCCGAAUGGGAAAGGUGCCAUUUCCUGCGACGAAGUCGAGAGAUGAGG
rnacentral:ncRNA from 1 species